ACUUUAGGUAGAUUAAACAACAGGCUGUAGUCGAUUUAUCUAUGAUAAAGUUCAUUAUAUUCUUAAAUAUAUUGUUACUAUUGCAUUUCUGUACAAAUUUAUGUAUUAAUAAUAAUUGUUGUAGCAAGGCCAACAGAGACAUCUAGAGUGAAAUAGAAAUAAUUAUUUACUAGUGCCACCUAUUGGAGGCAGCUGGAUAGAGAAACGUCUCCGAUAAAUGUCGAAGGAGUAUUGAGUUCAGAGUUGGCCGACGCUUUCGACUUCGAUGUUCCAUGUCGCUAUGCGUUAUAUUUAUUACUAACUAGUAGGCUAUAAAGAAACAUGGACGACAGGCGAAGGGAUCACAUGUACAAAAGCGGCUUAAGAGUACGAUACGCGUUCAUGUACUGGGCAAGGUGGCAAGGUGUUAACAAACGCACGCAGGCUACAUACUUCUCUUUGGUUAAACAAAAUUUUAUUUUUGUAACAACACGCCGUUACAUAUUUCAUUUAAUCGAAGUUUAUAGAAGCACUGAAGGAUUCUAUGCAACGCGGGAAAAGGAAUUCCCAAUUGAUAUUAUUAAUUAACGAAAUAUUCUUUACUUGUUUUUACAUAA